GACGUAGGGCGCGAGCGUUGUCCGGAUUUAUUGGGCGUAAAGAGCUCGUAGGCGGUUUGUCGCGUCUGCCGUGAAAGUCCGGGGCUCAACUCCGGAUCUGCGGUGGGUACGGGCAGACUAGAGUGAUGUAGGGGGAGACUGGAAUUCCUGGUGUAGCGGUGAAAUGCGCAGAUAUCAGGAGGAACACCGAUGGCGAAGGCAGGUCUCUGGGCCUUACCUGACGCUGAGGAGCGAAAGCGUGGGGAGCGAACAGG
rnacentral:rRNA from 1 species